GGCGGGUAAAGUAAGGGCGUAUGGUGGAUGCCUUGGCUUUGAAUGGCGAUGAAGGACGUGGCGUGCCUGCGAUAAACUUCGGGGAGGUGGCGAGCAACCUUUGAUCCGGAGGUCUCCGAAUGGGGAAACCCCUUUGCAUAAAAUGCAUUGACUUCGUGUAAACGAGGAGCAAACCCGCUGAAGUGAAACAUCUCAGUAAGCGGAGGAACAGAAAAUCAUCGCGUGCUUUGCACGCAGAUUUAAAUAUUUAAAUAUUUAAACUUGCGCGCUUGGCGCGCGCCAUUCCCCCAGUAGCGGCGAGCGAAAAGGGAUCAGCCCAAACCGGUUUGAUUUUGUUGGUUUUCCAAUAAAUAUGACCGGGGUUGUAAGAUGAGUGAAUUUUCCGCGCAAGCGGAAAGCGAGUCCAACCAAUGGUUCGUUAGCAGAACGGUCCUGGAAAGGCCGGCCACAGCGGGUGAAAGCCCCGUAUGCGAAAACGAAUUCGUGCUCGUUUCAUUUAUUCUUGAGUACUGCCCCGUAUGACGACUGGGCAGGAAUCCGGGAGAACUACGCUCCCAAGGCUAAAUACAUUCAAAGACCGAUAGUGAACCAGUACCGUGAGGGAAAGGUGAAAAGCAGCCCGGUGAGGGCGGUGAAAUAGUACCUGAAACCAUACGCUUACAAGGAGUCGGAGCCGUGCACAGCACGGAGAUUUAAAUAUUUAAAUAUUUAAAUCUCCGUGCUGUGCACGGUGACGUCGUGCCUAUUGAAGAAUGAGCCAACGAGUUUUGUGAUACUGCUCGUCUAAGCGCCGUGAGGCGCGAAGGCACAGGGAAACCGAGUGUUAAUAGCGCGUUUCUAGUUAGUAGUUUGUAGUUGGUAGCCGGUAGAUUUAUCUACUCACUACGAACUACUCACUACCGACUAGUAGGCAGUAUUAUAAAGACCCGAAACCAGAUGAGCUUGCCAUGGGCAGGGUGAACUUUGGGUAACACCAAAGGGAGGCCCGAACCGGUAGGUCGUGCAACGCCUUCGGAUGACCUGUGGUACGGAGUGAAAAGCUAAUCGAAUCUGGAAAUAGCUGGUUCUCUUCGAAAUAGCUUUUGGGCUAGCCCCGGAUCAUGUUCCGCGCGAGGUAGAGCUACUGGAUGGUCGGUAAGGACUCACGUUCGGCCGACCAACCAAACUCCGAAUGCGCGCGUAAUUAUUCCGGGAGUCAGCAGGCGGGGGCUAAGCUCCGUCGUGCAAGAGGGGAAGAGCCCAGACCGACAACUAAGGUCCCUAAUCUCUGCUAAGUGGUAAAGGUGGUGGCGUUUCUUAUACAGCGAGGAGGUUGGCUUAGAAGCAGCCAUCCUUUAAAGAGUGCGUAACAGCUCACUCGUCCAGAGACGCUGCGUCGAAGAUUCAACGGGGCUAAGCAGAGAACCGAAGUUUCGGAUGCGCGGGCUUCAAUGAAGCCCGUGCGUAGUAGAAGAGCAUUUCUUGUGCGGUGAAGCUCCAGCCGUGAGGCGGAGUGGAGCGCAAGGAAGAGAGAAUGUUGGCACAAGUAACCGCAAGUCGGGUGAGAACCCCGACCGCCGAAAGCCUAAGGGUUCCUCCGCAAUGACAAUCAUCGGAGGGUUAGUCGGGCCUAAGCCGAUGGCGAAAGCCGCAGGCGAUGGACAGCUGGUUAAUAUUCCAGCACUGCCAUACGGAUCGAGGGCGUGACGGGGCGCAGUAUGCGCGGCGCAUUAUUGGAUUUGACGCUUGUGGGAUAAGGGAUGCCGGUAGGGAAAUCCGCCGGCGGGGGUUAUGCCCGAUCCCGAGUACCGCGAAGACCGUGCUUCGCACGGAGAUUUAAAUAUUUAAACAUUUAAACUUCCGCGCGGAGCGCGGGAUCAUGCAAAGCGCGCCUCCCAGAAAACCGUCUAAGAAUAUGUGUAUGGCAACCGUACCGCAAACCGACACAGGUGGGCAGGUCGAGUAGACCAAGGCGAACGAGUGAUUCCCCGUUAAGGAACUCGGCAAAAAAGCAGCCGUAAGUUCGCGAUAAGGCUUGCCUUGUCGGGGCUGAAAGAAGGAAUGAUUGCUGGGUUGUCUAUGUGAGAACACGCGCGUUGCGCUCCUGCGGCGCAACGCGCUAAGAGUCGGACAAAAUUUCGUCCCGCGACGGGACGAGCCAAGCAAUUUUGUCCUCCUAUUGUUCUCACACAGACAACCCAGCUUGUGGAAGAUAAAAGAGGAAAAAAAGGGGAAUGUCCCUGUAGCUCAGUUGAUAGAACACUCGGUGGUUAACCGAAAGGUCGCUGGUUCAAUUCCAGCCAGGGACUCCCCCAAAAACAUAGUUCUUUUUGAAAGCGAUUAGUGUAUAGUAUAGGUGGGAGGAUUGGUGGCUCAAGGACACAAUCCGUCAGUGGAAGACCACCCUUGAUCGCUUUUAUCCGGAUAGUCGCUAGGCAACCCCUUCGGCUAUCCGGGUCGUUCAGUUCAAUGGGGCACAUCAAGAUAUGUGCGCUGUCCAAGGGUCAACAUGCCUCCCUUGCUCCGCUAUGCUUGGUGUGCUCCGCCCAAGUUCAAUGGGGCAGAUUCAGGUUUGUUGGUUUUGUGUUUGUUUCUGGAAUGAGCGCAAGACCUGGGAGACUUAUCUGGAUCUGUCCCGCCAGAGUUCGGUGGAGCGGUUAGGAAAAUUUUGAUAUUUUUAUUUUCCUGCGGUGGUAGGAAGUCCACGCCGCUCCAACCUAAAGUCAAUGGGGUAGAUCAUGCAUACUUCCGGAAUACUGGUCUUCCUUUCUCCCAGUUUUCAGAUCAUAUAGGUAUGCGUGGUCUACUCCUCCCUUUUUUCUUUCAAUCAAUUCCUUCAAAAAUUGAAACAUCUUGCGAGAUGUUUCCUUCUUUCAGCUCCGAUGAGGCCGCAGCUAAAGUACCCCUGGCGACUGUUUACCAAAAACACAGGUCCCUGCUAACUCGCAAGAGGAUGUAUAGGGGCUGACGCCUGACCAAUGCGAGAAGGUUAAACGUUCUUGUGGAGUGGCCGCGAUUACAUCAACGCUGUUCUGCUCUGGGCGUCAAGCCCUCGUCAAUGUCAGCGAUAACUAUAAUCGUUCUAAGGUUGCCCGUAUCUUAUUUCAUAAGGUUCGGGCGAGGAUUGGAACGAUUAUAGGGUUUUAGGUAAAAAUGAAAGCGCUGCCCAUUUUGUAUUUACAGAAUGUCCUUUAAAUUUGGCUAUAUGCUGGAAUAACCGUGUAUCCGACACUACUUGAAUAAAGUAAAAAUGUGAUUGGUGCGGUCAAUCAGCAGGUAACUAAAUUAUGCAAUUACUAAUAAAAUUAAGUAAGAUACAUAAUUUAGGAACCUCAGAGACUAUAUGCCAGAAUCUCCUUUUAAGGAGAUAAGAUAUAGUCCGAACUCUAUGGCGACAUAGAGAGUUGAUCAGAAAUGAAUCAGCCGUAUGCUUUUCAGUUUGUCAUGCAGAGCCACGGGCGAAGCAUCCCGUACAUUAUCGGGAUUCCUCGCUAACGCUCGGAAUGACGAAAAAGCGUAUCGUAACAAACUUGAGCGCAAUUCCUUUUCGGGUAAGUUCCGAAGCGCACGAAAGGCGUAACGACUGGGGGACUGUCUCAACGAGGAGCUCGGUGAAAAUACAAUACCGGUGAAGAUGCCGGUUACCUGUGGUUAGACGAAAAGACCCCGGGAGCUUUACUGCAGCUUGAUAUUGAGUUUAGUGCUAGCAUGCGUAGCAUAGAUGGGAGGCUUUGAAGUUCCGGUUCCGGCUGGAAUGGAGCCGUCAGUGAAAUACCAUUCUUGUGUGCGCUAAAUUCUCACCGAUCCGAAAGCGAAAACCGCAAAGCGGAUGGGGACAGUGUCUGGCGGGCAGUUUGUGUGGGGCACAUUCCUCCCAAAAAGUAAUGGAGGAGUCUAUUAAGGUCGGCUUGGGACGGAUGGAAAUCGUCCUGGACGGGUAAAGCCAGAAGCCGGCUUGACUGCAAGGCGGAUAGGCCGCGCAGGUGCGAAAGCAGAGCUUAGUGAUCCGAUGGCACUUUCUAGAAUAAGGCCAAAGCUCAUCAGACAAAAGCUACCCCGGGGAUAACAGGCUAGUUCCGCCCGAGCGUCCAUAGCGCCGGCGGAGUUCGGCACCUCGAUGUCGGCUCAUCUUAUCCUGGGACUGGAGAAGGCCCCAAGGGUUCGGCUGUUCGCCGAUUAAAAAGAUACGUGAGCUGGGUUGCGUAAGGCACGUGAGCCCAGUUAAAACCGACUCAUAACGGUGGAAUCCAUAAUGCAGAUAUGAUAGAAUUGUGUUAUGGACAAUACCGUGGGAAGAUUACAAAAUAUAUUUCCACCGC
rnacentral:rRNA from 1 species